GUGUAUCUCAUGCUAUAGAGUGGUUAUCCCUUCCUUGAUGCAACUGAACCACUAUAACCAAUCGAGAGCAGUCAACACCCAAAAGGAUCCACACAUCUAUAGUGGUGAAAGAUCGCAAGACUUAAUAUUUAUUGAGGAUGUUUGAUUUAGAUCUUUUCUACAUAGUCACACACAUCUCAUGUAAAUGACUAAUCCGGUUCAGA
rnacentral:lncRNA from 1 species